GUACGUGGCGAUUUUUGGGAGGGGGAGGGGGAUCGCCGGUGACGCGGAGGAAGGCCGGAGCGCGCUUCCCGCUCGGCUCCAUGGCGGCCCCUGGACAGAAAUCCAUGGCGGCUCCUGGGCAGAAAGGAGAUAGGGAGGUGAGGGAGAAAGGGACAGUGAUGAGCUCCAGACAGAAAAGAAUCUCAUACUUCAAAAGAUUGAUGGUCAGAUCAAGUGUAUUAAUGAAAUGUGCAACAUGAUGUCUCUUGAUCUUAAGAAGACAUUAUAUGAAGUUCAUCCCAGCUUUGUUGAAUUGGAAAGAAUCAAAUCCAUGAGUCUACAAGAUCUUGGAGGCACACUCAUUGAGUUAUGGAGUCUAACGGACACACCAUUAGAUGAACAGAAAUGCUUUGAUCAUGUUACUUCUUUGAUUUCAGUCUCACAAAAUACAGUGAUGCCUCAAGGAUGCCUUUCACAUGACCUUAUUAAGAAGGUAGAGGUUGAGGUCAAGAGACUGAAGCAUUCGAAAGUAGCAAAAUGAAAGAGCUUGUCUUAAAGAAAAUGAUUGACCUUGAAGAAAUCUACAGAAGUGUUCACAUGUAUAUUGACAGCGAUCAUGAGUAGCAGAUUCUCACUGAACUUAUUGAUUCUGGUUCACUUCUUUCCCAUGAUUUUCAUCCUGAAGAUAGAUAACUGAAGUUAUUAUAUACAGUUUUGUUUCCAUUAAGAACUACACGAUGCAUGAUUUGAAAGGUGCUCCUUGGUUAUAUAACGUUGUUGUUUCUGUCUCAUCUUAAAAUUCUGUGAAUUUCUUAGUCAAAUGCAAUGGUAGGUUCUGCAACUGUCUUUCAACUUUGUGCCUUCUAAGUAUCAGCUUGACUAUUUAGGCAGAUCAAUUUGGAUAAAAAAUUGAAUAAGCUCUUAUGGAAACUAAAAGGGAAAAAAUAUUGCAAGUCAUUGCGGCUCUCCUUCAGAGGACGAUUGCGCAUUCAUGCUCUAGGAUUUUUUUUACUGAGCUCAAGGUUGUGAACUAUUUAUUUCCAUUUCUUUGGUAGUGAUAUUUGGUUAAACUGGAGAUCCUAGCUAUAGAACAUCAGCGGUGUAAAGUAUAUGUAUUGCUGCUCAGAGGUUCUAUAGAUACAUCUUUACUGAUUUUUCAUCUUUAUCAUGUAUGCUUCAAUUCUUGCAUGCCAAAUAAACAUAAGUUCGUGUUUUAUUGUUUAGUUGUCUCAUGUUCGCUCUUCAUUAUUCUAUAUCAAAGUGAUGUCGUUCAAUGCGUUUGUCCCUUGCUGAUGUAGAAAUUGAUUUCCAUGAAGCAUGCCCUCAAGGUGCAACAAUAUCAUUCUUCCUGGUGUUGCAUUAAGUAUACCUCUUAUUUGUUAAAAAAUCCUUUGGAUUUGGGAUUAGUAUAUUAGGUAGACAUCUUUUGGUUAACAACAGAUUCGAGCGCAGGGUAGAAUUCUUGGUUGAUUCUAGAAUUUCGUUGUAGAUUAGCUGGCAGAUUAGAACGUCUUUGGCACUGGACCCAUCAGACGCGUGUGCGUGUGCAGAUCUCACAUGCAUCUACUGCAUCACUUGUUGUUGGAUGGCAGUGUGGUGUGCAAGCGUGUGGAAGGCCUAUUCGCCGCCAUGGGGGCGCAACUCAGCUCUGAGGAGAACAGUUCCAAGGCCCAACUAACAGGCUACCACAAUUCCCUUAGACCACUCACGGACUGUAAUUGAAUUGCUUUAUCGAUCAAUCUAUCAAUUAAUCAUAGGCUACAAUUAACCAGUGUAGUUUGGAUUUGCAGCACUAGGGACCAUUUGAUUCAAUUUGUGCUAUAGUAAUACUAACCUAAUACAAUUAUCAGAUCCUUUUGUCUUGUCAAGCAGAUGGUUAAUUACUGGACAAGUAGAGCAUGGCAUUUUCUGUGUGCAAUCCACAGUGACAAGCUUGCAGAGGCUACUUCAAGUCAAGCGGCUUUAGAAUUUCUUUACUAUGUGUACUCAUGUAGUAUUUAGGUUAGAAUAGAAUCAGAUUUGAUUGGUGCCCUCAGUUCAUAACAGACAUUGACAGGUUACUUCUUUCUGGCUUUAACUUUGAAGCCUAAAUAAGCACCUUUUGCUACUUAAUUGUGCUUGCAGUCAUUUGUGAUUCUCAGUUCAUGAAUAAUAUAUGUUGAUAAGACAUAAAUUUA